rnacentral:lncRNA from 1 species
GAAGUGUCAGCUGCUUCUCGAGGCUGGGGGCGGGCUGGUGGGGCUGUCCUGGGGGCAAGCCUGCGGCCCCCAACUCCUCAGCGAGGUGGCGGGGAGCUUUCGGAAACCCGUGGGACGGGGGCAGCCUCCCUGCCUGCCCGUGGCUGUGGCCGUGCGGGUGGGUUUCCACCCUGGGGGAGCUGCACGUGCCUCCCAGGAGCUGCUUGCUGCAGCUUCUCCGUGCUCGAUGUCACCACUAACCCGCGUCCCCUGUCCUGGUGGAGGCACCCCGGGGCCCGCUGGCCACGCUCGUGGUCUAAAAUUUUGGGUAGACCUGUGUGGUGCCAGGAGUUGGACUCGAUGAUCCUUGUGGGUCCCUUCCAACCCGGGAUAUUCUGUGAUUCCGUGAUUCUUUGUGUUCGCCAGCCCCAUCUCUGCCAGCAGGUAUCAGCUCUGUGUCCCCUGAGCUGCGGGGAGCGGGUGCCCCAAGCCCCCUGCAGGCCCAGGGCCGUGCCCAGGUUGGGGGCAUUGCCUGUCCCUGUCCCUGUCCCCGUCCCCCUGGCGCAGCGGGGCCGCACUUGGCCUUGUUGCUUCCCGCUGCCGUGGUGUCGGUAACCGGAGGGGGCUUUGUGCUGCUGCCGAGGCUGUCACAGCCAGGGCCGCAGCCUCGGGUGCCCGUCGGUGCCACCAUCACGGUGCCACCAUCACGGUGCCACCCACAGGGAGGUGGCAGCUCCCAGCCCGGCCCCACGUGUCCCAGUGGGGCCAGAUGUGAUGAGUGGGGACGUGGUGGCAGAGCCCAGCGUGCGGUGGCGUGGCCGCAGCACCGGGCACCGACCCGUCCGUGCUCGCUGCUCCCCCUGCUCCUCUGGGCUCCCCGUCCCAAAUCCCCAAGGGUAAGGGCUGGGGGAGCGGCGCCUUGAGCCCCGAGGUGCUGUAGGAGCCCCCCAACCCCACAUCGACCAUGAGCACGUCCCCAGCGCCCGGGGACCUUCCCCUGGUGUCCCCAGCUGGGGUGGCCAUGAGCCACCGCUUGGUGUCGGUGCCGUCC